rnacentral:lncRNA from 1 species
GGUCCGGAGCGACGCCAUGGGCGGCGACUACCCGUCGAAGCCCAUGUCCGUCUACGCCACCAUAUGGGAUGGCUCCACCUGGGCCACCGGCAACGGCAAGUACAAGGUGAACUACAAGUACGCGCCGUUCGUCUCCGAUUUCUCCGACCUCGUCCUCCGCGGCUGCCGCGUCGACCCCAUCCAGCAGCCGGACUCCGCCAGGCGGUGCGCCGAGGCCAACGAAGACCUCCUGACGGCCGACUUCGCGGUGAUGACCCCCAAGAAGCGUGCCGCCAUGCGCCGCUUCCGCGAGCGCUAUAUGACCUACGCCUUCUGCUACGACAC